rnacentral:piRNA from 1 species
UCAGAGGCUCCAGCAGACUAC